rnacentral:rRNA from 1 species
AGCGAACGCUGGCGGCAGGCCUAACACAUGCAAGUCGAACGGAUCCUUCGGGAUUAGUGGCGGACGGGUGAGUAACACGUGGGAACGUGCCCUUUGGUUCGGAACAACUCAGGGAAACUUGAGCUAAUACCGGAUGUGCCCUUCGGGGGAAAGGUUUAUCGCCAUUGGAGCGGCCCGCGUCUGAUUAGCUAGUUGGUGAGGUAAAGGCUCACCAAGGCGACGAUCAGUAGCUGGUCUGAGAGGAUGAUCAGCAACAUUGGGACUGAGACACGGCCCAAACUCCUACGGGAGGCAGCAGUGGGGAAUCUUGCGCAAUGGGCGAAAGCCUGACGCAGCCAUGCCGCGUGAAUGAUGGAGGUCUGAGGAUUGUAAAAUUCUUUCACCGGGGACGAUAAUGACGGUACCCGGAGAAGAAGCCCCGGCUAACUUCGUGCCAGCCGCCGCUGUAACAC